rnacentral:lncRNA from 1 species
UGUAAGUUGUUAUUGAUUUUGAGCUUAUGUGCUUUCCUGUUUAUUCUAAAGAUUGAUUUUUCCAUAUGAAUUUAAAAGUAGCUGGCUUGGUAAUGCCUUUAAAGCUUUACAAAUAUACUUAUUAAACUAAAUCUUUGAACUAUUAUUAUAUUUAUACUGUUAGCAACUAAUGGAUAUCUAUGUCUUUAAAAAUAGAUGCUUUCAUGUUUUUAACUGCUUAGGAAGAAGUGCUUUUUUGAAGAUUGCUUGCACAACUUUAUUCCUGAAUUUUUACUCUGACCUUUGUGCUCAUUUUUUCUGAAUUCUUAUGUUCUGUGACCUGCUUUGCCCUUUCCCUAAGCCCCUUCAUUGAAGAGUCAUCAAGAAACACGAAUUGGCCUGGCACAGUGGCUCAUGCCUGUAAUCCCAGCACUUUGGGAGGCUGAGGUGGGUGGAUCACUUGAAGUCAGGAGUUCGAGACCAGCCUGACCAACAUGGUGAAAGCCUGUCUCUACUAAAAAUACAAAAAAUUAGCUGGGCGUGGUGGCGGGCACCUUUAGUCCCAGCUACUUGGAUAGCUGAGGCAGGAGAAUCACUCGAACCUGAGAGGCAGAGGUUGCAGUGAGCCGAGAUCGCGCCACUGCACUCCAGCCUGGGCAACAGAGCAAGACUAUGUCUCAAAACAAAAAACACAAAACAAAAACAAAAAACACACAAAUUAUUCCAAAUGUCUUGUGCAUGCAUUUUUCUUAUUCUUAUUUCUACCAAUAUUAAUAUACUUCAGACCUCCGAUAUCAGUUAUUUAUCACUGCAUAACAACAGUAGUGAUCUAAAAGUGCUACCAUUUUAUUUGUUCAUAAUUCCAUUAUCAUCAAUUUGGGCAGGGCUCAGCUAGGUGGUUUGUCUGCUGGCUUGCCUGGGAUCUCUCAGGUGGUUUUCUUGUUGACUCAACUGGGGCUGGAUGGUUAUAGAGUCUCACUCAUUUUUCUGGAAGCUGGUGCUGGCUGUUGGCUGGGCCAUGUGUCUUCAGGAAGCUAGCAUGAGUUUUGUCACAUGGUGGCAAUGUUCCAAGCGAGUAAGCCCCAGUGUACAAGUGCUCUUCAAGCUUUAGCUUAUGUCAUAUUUGCUGAUAUUCCAUUGACAAGUCACAUUGGCAAGUCACAUGGCCAAGCCCUAAGUCAGUGUGGGAAGGGACUACAAAAAAAACAGGGAUACAGAGAAAUGUACUUCAUUGGAGGCUCUUACUGUUACAAUAUACCAUACCUAAGGUAAAGAGACAGCCUCUAAUAUAUUCUCCCAGGCUCUUGUCCUAACAUCCUGUUUAUUCUGCACAACCACAGCUGGACAGUCCUUCUCAAACACCAAUUAUUCUAUCAUUCUCUACUCUUUAAUUCUCAAUCAGUCAACAAUUUUGUUUCGCAGGGGACAUUUGGCAGUGUCUGAUGACAUUUUUGGCUGUCUUAAUUUGAUAAGGGGUAGAUGCUCCUGGCCUCUAGUAGGUAGCUGCAGGGAUGCUACGGAAUAUCCUGUAAUGCACAGGCCAGAGCCUCCCCUCCUUCCCAUUACAAAGAAUUAUCUGGCCAAAAAUGUCAAUUGUGCUGAGGUUGAGGAAGCCUGUACCCUAACUCAUAAACCCCCAGUGGUGCUCCAAUAAAAAGAGAACUAAAGGUAAACUCUUAAUCCGAGCAUCCACAGCCCUCUGUAAUUUGCUCUGACUACAUAGAUCAAAUAUUUCACCCUUUAGUCUCUAUCAUGGCUUUUAUUGUCCCCCAAAUAAGCCACACUUCAUCACAUGAUUACGUUAGUAGCUCCUUACUAUCAGGACAAAAUGUAAAUAUCAAGCAGAUCUUUUAGCUUUUCUCUCUUCUGUCUAACCAAACCAUUUCCCAGCUUAAGUAAAAGAAUUGGAUCCUGCUUUUUCUACAAACGUUUACACAAUUGCAUUGUGACCUGCCACUCAUAAAUACAUCACUUAGUGUGUAUGUCAGUUCAGGUAUCAGGCAGCAGGAAUGUUUUUGAAUAACCCCAGCAAUAUACUCAGGGGAAAGCCACGGUCAUAUAAUCUGUCUCUAAUUAUUUUCAACAAACAGCAAAGAGAAAAGAAAGAAAUAGGAGGUGCUUCUUUUUAUUUUAGCAUCCAGAAACAGCUAGCCAGGAACUGGAGAUAACAGAGCAGGCUUUGAGAGCCAAUGAAUUAGUAGGUAAGGAGAGCUUGCCCAUGAUUGUCAGCAUGACUUUUCGAAAGAUCAGCUUCCUCUCUGGCUGCUCAAAGAUUUUAAAAAUCAGAGAUAAUCUUGUUAGAGCAUGUUUCUCAAAGCAGUGAAAAGACAUCUUUGGAAAGAAAUAAUUUUGUGAUCAGAUACAUUUGUAAAACACAAAUAAAUUUUAGAAAGAAUCCUAUUAUAUUCCUUUGAGAUAAAGCUGUUUGAUCGAAUAUUUCCUAAAUGUAUUUGACUAUGGUAACUUUGAGUUUGGGGUUUUGGUUUGGUUUGGUUUCAAUUUCCGUGAGCUUUCCACAGACUUAGUGCUCUCAAAACAUACUUGAGGAGACCUCGUGUUAGACAGUGACUAGGGUGGUGAGUCAUGAGAAGUGAUCCUUUGCUCCUACAUCAUAAAUUGGCCCAACUUCCCAUAACGGGAAUGAGCAAUACCACUUUAACCUGCUUUUCAUUGGUAAGUAGGGAAAGCUUUUAGUGGAAACCUAUUGUAAUCCACCCUGUAAGAUUUCCUUCAGGUACGAGAGUGCUUCUCAGAGCAUGACUUAACACUGCAGUUACUUUGCCCCAGAAAGAUCCGAAAUGCCAUUGAAAAUGGAACUAGAUACCUUAGUAAUGGCAUACCACUGAGGCACCCACUAGUAGGUUCAGGAACACUCUGAAACAUACAUACCCCUGUAAGAGCUGAGUCUUAGUUUUCUCAUGAAUAUAUACUCAGAGCUUACUAUUCCUAAGGAAGCUACAGGAAAAAGGUAGAUUUUGCGAAAAGGAAUGUGUCAGCGUAUAUCAUAGUGAUCCACUGACCCUUUAUGUAAAGCAUGAAAAAGAGAAAAUAAUAACACUUAUAUACUGCUAUCCAUAAUUAGCAAAUGUGAACAUCCUAUCCUAUUUGCCUCAGAUCUAUUUUUUAAAAUGAAGCAUUAGAGACCCAGCUGAACUUCCCCUUUGACUGCAUAUUGUUUCUAUAAUUAAUGUAUAGCAUUGUUGUGUAUGUGUUGUGUUGGCAGUUAUCAGACUUUGGAAAAUCUUUCAUUUAAAAAAAUUAAGUAUCUGUAAUGUUUCAAACAAUAUCAAAUACCAUUACAUGUCUUGAACCAGAGCAGAGUUGGCGUUCAUUAUUAGAACUGAGCAAGAAGUAUUGUAUUUCAAACUUCUGAUUCCAUUUUGUGAUGACUAAGCAAAACUCAUGUCAUUUUCCCACAUUAGCAAACUGUAUGUCUCAUCCAUCUUGCUCCUCUCAGUUAAGACAAAAGUUUGUGUUUUUUAUUUAUUAUUUAUGUAUUUAUUUUUUGUGACAGGGUGUCACUUUCUCGUAGGCUGGAGUGCAGUGGUGUGAUCAUGGCUCACUGCAGCCUCAACCUCCCUGGACUUAGGUGAUCCUCCCGUCUCAGUCGCUGGAGUCACUGGGACUACAGGCACGCACCACUACUCCCAGUUAAUUUUUUUUGUAUUUUUUGUAGAGUUUCUCUACGUUGCCCAGACUGGUCUCAAACACUUUGGCUGGAGAUCCGCCUGACUCGGCCUUCUGAAGUGCUAAGAUUACAGGCGUGAGCCGCCAUACCUGGUCGCUGUUUCAUAUUAUAUAUGCAAGAAGUAGAGAAAUCAAAUCUAAUAAAAAUAAAUGGACCUCAGUUCACUUUUGGACAGCAGAAAAAGCAAACUGUGGAAAGCAGAAUUCUACAAUGGCACGCUGGUUCCCACCCCUUGGUGUACAUGCUCUGCAUGAAGUGAGCAGGACCUGUGAAUAUAAUGGGAUAAUCACUCCUGUGAUUACAUUAUGUUAUAUGAUUCCAUUCCCCUCCUGGCUUUGAAGAAGUGAGCUGCCAUGUCAUGAGAACACCAGGUGGCUAGGACCUGAAGAUAGCCUCUAAGGAGCUGAGGAUGUCACCCUGCUGACAGCCAGCAAGGAAAUGGGUACCUCAGUCCUAUAGCUGCAAGGAAUUGAAACCUGCCAACAACCUGAAUGAACUUGGCAGAGGACUCUGAGCUUGUGAUGAGAACACAUCCCCAGCUUGAAAUCAAAUCGACAUAUUGAUUUUAGCACUGUGAGAUACUGAGCUGAGAACACAGUUCAGCUGUUCCUGGACUUCAGAACCACAGAACUGAGAUGAUAAAUGAGUGGUGUUUCAAGUUGCUAAGUUUGUGGUCAUUUGCUUACAGUAAUUGUAAACUAAUACACAAGUGUAAGUUUGUUUUCUUAAAGAAGAAAAAAACGGGGAAGGAGGUAAGUGUUAAAGGAUCAAAACUCUGACAAAAGGCUGGUUGCAGAACAUGACAGGUUGUUGCACUGGAAACUAUUUGUCAUGCAAGUUUAUGUUAAAAUAAGUAGCUUUUGAGGACUUUCAUUUUUGGUCUUGUAAACAUGCCAUUUAAUAUUGUCCAACUGAUAAUACUUUUUGCAAACAGAAACUGUUAAAACCUUUAAAGCAAAUAUUACUGUAGAGAAGAAGUAAUGUGUUAUGAAACUGUGAGGAUACUAAGAAGGAUCCUACUUAAGUUUCUUCAGCAUAAAUAAACUUGAGCGUUUCGACCACUGUUACUGAGAAUGAAAUUAUUUCUUAAUCACUUUUAAUGAGGUAAAAUUUACAUACGAUAAAAUGCACCAAUUUUAAAGUAUAGUUUAAUGAGCUUGCACAGAUGUAAAUAUCUGUUUAACUUCUACUUAAUCAAGAUAUAGAAUAUUUCCACAAUGCCAAAAUUGCCAUUGACCCCCUUCCCCUUCUUUCACCCAACUGCAGACCCCAGGUCACCACCAACCUACUCUUGCUCAAUAUAGAUUUAAUGUGAUGUGUCUUUUCUAGAGUUUUAUGUCAAUAGAAUUGUACACUAUGCACUCUUCCAUGCCUGGCUUUCUUUGCUCAGCAGAAGGUGUUUAGAUUAAUUCAGUAGUUCAUUUCUUUCUAGUAAUGAAUAGGAUCACAUUAUACAUUAUACCACAGAGUGUGCAUCCAUUACUUUGUUGAUUGAUAUUUGGGUCAUUUCCAGGUUUUGGCUAUUGUGAAUAAAACUGCCUUGACUAUUCCUGUACAAGUCUUUGUAUUAAGGAACAUACGUUUUAUUUUCUCUUGAGGAAGUUCCUAGCAAUAAGAUUGCUGGGUCAUAUGGUAGGUAUAUAUUUAGCUUUAAAAGCAACUAAGUGCUUUCCAAAGUGACUGUACAAUUUAACAUUCCUACCUGAAAUGUAAGAGAAUUCCAGUUGCUCCACAUUCUUGUCAACCCUUGGUAGCAUCAGUCUCUUUAAGAAUUCUAAUGGAUAUGUAAUAUGGACUAUAGGUUUAAUUUGCAUUUCUCUGUUGACUAAUGAUGUUGCACAACUUUUCAUAUGUCUAUCAACCAUUCUUGCAUCUUCUUUUAUGAAAUGUCUGUUCAAAUCAUUUGUCCACUUUUUAUUGUGUCAUUUUAUUCAGUUGUAAGAGUUCUUUACAUAUUCUGGAAACAAGUCCUCUGUCACAUAUAUAGGUACUUUGAAAAUCUGUGCUUUGCCUUUACAUUUUUUUAAUGGUAACUUUUUAAGAGUAGAUAGUUUUGGUUUUGAUGAAAUUCAACUUAUCAGUUUUUCAGUUAUAGUAUGUAUUUUUAUGACCCAUCUAAGAAGCAUCUGUCUACCCAGAGUUGCAAAGAUAUCCCUUUUCUUACUAGAAAUAUUAUAGUUUUAUUUACCAUUGCUUCUAUGAUACAUUUUAAGUUAAUUUUUGUGUAUUAAAUGAAUAAAAAGUUGAAGUUCACUUUUCUCUGUAUGGAUAUUCAGUUCUUCCAGUGUUAUUUUUUUAAAAAC